AUUGAACGCUGGCGGCAUGCCUUACACAUGCAAGUCGAACGGUAACAGGUCUUCGGAUGCUGACGAGUGGCGAACGGGUGAGUAAUACAUCGGAACGUGCCCGAUCGUGGGGGAUAACGAGGCGAAAGCUUUGCUAAUACUGCAUACGAUCUACGGAUGAAAGCGGGGGAUCUUCGGACCUCGCGCGGACGGAGCGGCCGAUGGCAGAUUAGGUAGUUGGUGGGAUAAAAGCUUACCAAGCCGACGAUCUGUAGCUGGUCUGAGAGGAUGAUCAGCCACACUGGGACUGAGACACGGCCCAGACUCCUACGGGAGGCAGCAGUGGGGAAUUUUGGACAAUGGGCGAAAGCCUGAUCCAGCCAUGCCGCGUGCAGGAUGAAGGCCUUCGGGUUGUAAACUGCUUUUGUACGGAACGAGAAGCCUCUUUCUAAUAAAGAGGGGUCAUGACGGUACCGUAAGAAUAAGCACCGGCUAACUACGUG
rnacentral:rRNA from 1 species